rnacentral:rRNA from 1 species
UACAGAGGGUGCGAGCGUUAAUCGGAAUUACUGGGCGUAAAGCGUGCGUAGACGGUUAUUUAAGUCGGAUGUGAAAGCCCCGGGCUCAACCUGGGAAUUGCAUUCGAGACUGAAUAGCUAGGGUGCGGUAGAGGGAAGCGGAAUUUCCGGUGUAGCGGUGAAAUGCGUAGAUAUCGGAAGGAACAUCAGUGGCGAAGGCAGCCCCCUGGGAUGUGACUGACGCUCAUGUACGAAAGCGUGGGGAGCAAACAGG